UCAUCCUGGUGGGACGCGGCAUACUCAAAUCCUCGGUCUCUUCCCACGGUCUCUCUUCAGUCGUCAGCUGCACGGCGUUACCGCCGACAUUCGCCACGGCCAUCACGAAAUCGCGCCUCGCCUGCUGCAGGUCCUCCAACUUGCUCUGCACCGCGGCAGCCUCCGACGUAUCUUGCUCGUCAAGAGUCUCGCUGCGAAACGACACUCGUCAUCAACAAGCCGUUAAAUGAUGACAACAUGAAAAAGACAUUGACAUAUUAUUACACAAUUAUCGGCAAUCAUACCUCCCAGAUUGAGAUACUUUUCAUUCUCCGAGCAAAGUUCCAACAAGAACGGCGGCACCUUCUGCUUCGCCUCCAUCAACAGAUGCUUGAGGUCAAGCAACACAGACUCGUCGUUCGCCUUAUUGAUAAAAGUCGUCGCGAUGCCGGUACGCCCGGAGCGACCGGUACGUCCUAUCCUGUGAACUGCAUCGAAAGAGGACUCAUUCCUUUGGUACGACACACUGAGAAUACACGUAUAAUCAAAAUAAAAGAAAAUGAUGGUAAAUUACCGUAAUUCUCCACGUCAUCCGGCAUAUCGUAAUUAAUCACGUGUUGCACAUCAGCAAAAUCAAGACCUUUGGACGCAACGUCCGUCGCAACCAGCACGUCCUUCCGACCUCCGCGAAAUGCCUCGACGGAGCGUGAUCUCUCUUCCUGAUCUGUAGCACAGAAGUAACAGCCCUCGAAUAUCCCACGAUACUCGUGAAUAGCAUCCACAUCGCGCUUCUUCUCCGCGAAUAUCAACACCGGUGGCGCGGUCUUUUGGAGACACUCCAGGAGAUAAACAAUUUUAGCCUCCUGCUUGACGUACUCGACUUCCUGUAUCACGUUCAUCGAAGCGGCGCCG